rnacentral:tRNA from 1 species
GGGGAUUUAGCUCAGCGGUAGAGCGCUUGCCUAGCACUUGCAAGGCCCUGGGUUCAGUCCCCA